CGAAGGGGGCUAGCGUUGCUCGGAAUUACUGGGCGUAAAGGGCGCGUAGGCGGACAGUUUAGUCAGAGGUGAAAGCCCAGGGCUCAACCUUGGAAUUGCCUUUGAUACUGACUGUCUUGAGUACGGGAGAGGUGUGUGGAACUCCGAGUGUAGAGGUGAAAUUCGUAGAUAUUCGGAAGAACACCAGUGGCGAAGGCGACACACUGGCCCGUUACUGACGCUGAGGCGCGAAAGCGUGGGGAGCAAACAGGAUUAGAUACCCUGGUAGUCCACGCCGUAAACGAUGAGUGCUAGUUGUCGGCAUGCAUGCAUGUCGGUGACGCAGCUAACGCAUUAAGCACUCCGCCUGGGGAGUACGGUCGCAAGAUUA
rnacentral:rRNA from 1 species